GAGUGAAAUGAUGGCAUAUCAUCUUUUGGGACAGACCUGAUUAUGGUGACUACUUUGUAUACUGAUCACUC